rnacentral:rRNA from 1 species
CCUACGGGCGGCAGCAGUGGGGAAUAUUGCGCAAUGGGCGAAAGCCUGACGCAGCGACGCCGCGUGAGGGAUGACGGUCCUCGGAUUGUAAACCUCCGUCUGUAGGGAAGUACGGUCACUGUGCUAAUCAGCAGUGAAUUGACGGUACCUGCAAAGGAAGGACCGUCUAACUCCGUGCCAGCAGCCGCGGUACUACGGAGGGUGCGAGCGUUAAUCGGAAUUACUGGGCGUAAAGCGCUCGUAGGCGGUAUGUCAAGUCAAGGGUGAAAUCCCCGCGCUCAACGUGGGAACUGCCUUUGAAACUGGCAAACUGGAGUGUGUGGGAGGAUAGUGGAAUUCGAGGUGUAGGAGUGAAAUCCGUAGAUAUCUGGAGGAACAUCAGUUGCGAAGGCGGCUAUCUGGCACAUAACUGACGCUGAGGAGCGAAAGCGUGGGUAGCAAACAGGAUUAGAUACCCGAGUAGUC